rnacentral:rRNA from 1 species
GACGAACGCUGGCGGCGUGCCUAAUACAUGCAAGUUGAGCGCUGAAGGUUGGUACUUGUACCAACUGGAUGAGCAGCGAACGGGUGAGUAACGCGUGGGGAAUCUGCCUUUGAGCGGGGACAACAUUUGGAAACGAAUGCUUAUACCGCAUAAAAACUUUAAAAACAAGGUUUAAGUUUUAAAGAUGCAAUUUCAUCACUCAAAGAUGAUUCCGCGUUGUAUUAGCUAGCUGGUGAGGUAAAGGCCCACCAAGGCGAUGAUACAUAGCCGACCCGAGAGGGUGAUCGGCCACAUUGGGACUGAGACACGGCCCAAACUCCUACGGGAGGCAGCAGUAGGGAAUCUUCGGCAAUGGACGAAAGUCUGACCGAGCAACGCCGCGUGAGUGAAGAAGGUUUUCGGAUCGUAAAACUCUGUUGGUAGAGAAGAACGUUGGUGAGAGUGGAAAGCUCAUCAAGUGACGGUAACUACCCAGAAAGGGACGGCUAACUACGUG